rnacentral:misc_RNA from 1 species
UGGUUCUGGCAUCGAUGAAGAACGCAGCGAAAUGCGAUAAGUAAUGUGAAUUGCAGAAUUCAGUGAAUCAUCGAAUCUUUGAACGCACAUUGCGCCCGCCAGCACUCUGGCGGGCAUGCCUGUUCGAGCGUCAUUUCAACCCUCGGGACCCCUUCGGGGGGACCGGUGUCGGGGCUCCCGGUUCUUGCAGCUGGGUCCCUCAGAGUCAUCGGCGGGCCUCUGAAGGUUUCCGGGCGUAGUAAAACAACUCGCCUCCGAAACCGCAGGGGAUCCUGGCCGCUAAACCCCCAAACUUCCAAGGUUGACCUCGGAUCAGGUAGGAAUACCCGCUGA